CUCUGGGUGGCCAUUGGGAGCAAUGGGAAGUGGGGUGUUGCUGUGGGUGUCACUGGGGGUUGAGAAGUGGGGUGCUGUUCUUCAUGGCAGUCGGGAGGGUGAGAAGUAGGGUACCAUGCUGGGCGGCCAUUGGGAGGAAUGGGGUGCUGGUUCACAUGGCUUUUGGCAGGGAUGGGAUCAGGGUGCUGCACUGGCGAUCAUGGGGAGCGGUGGGUUCAGGGUACUCUGGUGGGGGGCUUUGAGGAGGGUAAGAAGUGGGGCACAGCUGUGGGUGCUCAUGGGGAGGGGUGAGGUCAGGUCCUGCUCUGCCCGGCCAUCAGCAGGGGUGCCAUUGGGGUGCAGGUCUGUGUGGGGCGGGAUGGCUGUGGGCCCCACCUCUUCCCCCUCAGCUUGCUGGAGGGUGGGUGAGAAACCUUUCGUGGUUUCUCUUCCUUGUGGCCGUGCGAAGGUGGUCCAAGUCCAGACUUCUGUUGGGCAGCAGAGCAGGAGAGCUGCCCAAAUUCCAACCCAGAGAAUACAAAGGGCCCCAUGCAGUGCUGUGGCUCUGGGGAGAACGAGCUGUCUCGGAGUGGUGGGACGUGUCCAGGGGCCACGGCGGGCUGCAGCCCCUCACCUUGUGUCCCUCACAGCUGCCAUUCUCUGGGGCCUGCCCUAACCGCGGCCAGGGUGGGCGCCAAUGGCCAACGCUCACUAUGGGAGGAGCCCUUCCUGCUCCUCGCGUGGCUGUGCUAUUUGCACUGUGACCACCGCCCACCCCGGCGGUCCCACCAGGCCACCCAGAGGGCCCUGGGGACGCUGCCCCACGUGCACCCCGCUAGGAAGCCUCUAGAUCCUGGGCACCGUUUCCUCUGACGCGUUCCUUCCCCCCGUCCUCUCCUGGCCUUGCGAGUGUCUGCAGGGCACCGUGCAUGCACUUAAAGUGUGUUCCUGGGUGAGGCUGUGGUCACUGGAAGCCCUUCCCAAAGCGACCCCCACAAGGCCACGUUCCAGCCUCCGGGUUGGAGGGCUGCUUCUCACACGGGCAGCUGAGCCGGAGGUCCGCAUGGAGUUCCAGCAGAAGUCCCAGAGAGUGUCCCUACUGCCUUCCCUUCCGUUCCCACCGGGAACAGCAGCGCGUCCGGUGCCUCCAACAGCUCCAAGGAUGGCCUCCCUGACGCCCCCUGAGCGCAAGGAGUUGUGGCUCUGCCAGUGCCUUUGUGCCCUGCCCACAGGGGAGGGGGCUCGGGGGGUGGCACCUGCAGCCACGAGGACUCCAUCUCCUGGCCGAGCAGAGGUGGUGAGGAGGGGAGCUGCGGCCUGGCGUGCAGUGUGGCUGCAAUAUGGGUGGCACCGCGUGGGACAUCACCGGGCUGUCAGCUCAGCACGGGCACAUGGCUGUCCAAAGAGGUUCCAGGCACAGAUAAGACGUUCAGUUGGGAUUUGCGCCUCAGGGGACCAGCGGGGACAUUUAAGGGCAGCGUGCGCGGCCAUUAUUAGUGCUUUUGGCUGUCAGCUUCAGCGUGUCCUCACAGACUGCCUCAAUGGCACCGAGCUCAGUGAGGGCCGCUGGGCCCCGGUGCGGCCUACAGCCCUGCUCCCCAUGGGGUGCUGCCCUGAAGGGAGGCAGGGCGAGCAGAUCCAGGUGCCCUCGGGGGCUGGGAGCUACAGAGCAGCCCUGCCUGGGGGUCACACAGCCGUGGGAGGGGUCAGGUUCGGGUGGGGGUCCACACUUCCCCCACUUCCCAUAUCCCAGAGCUGGGUGUCACAGGCCUGGUGGGACUCGAUGCAGUCAUUUCCCUCUAUUAUUGGAGCUUUUUUAUCAGUGAGUUACGAGUCCUUUGCCACCGGCAGUGGCCUGAGCGCUAUACGAUGUACAAAGAAAAGGCAGCUCUGGUGCCAAAGUGCUUAUUGUUCAAAAUGCAGAUUUUUUUUUGUUUUUCUUUUUUUCCCUUCAAAGCAAACCAAUAGACGGAAAACCAGAUGAAAAAACAGUGGGAGCCCAGAGACGAGAGAGAAGGAUUUACUUUGUUAUUUAACCUGGGAUCUGCUGCGCUGUGCUCAGCAGCCUGCCCUAAGGAGCCUGCCUUGGGAGGGGUUGGGCUGGGGGAUCUGCAGAGCUUCCUUCCCACCCCUGAAAUCCUGUGAUUCCGUGGUUCUGUCUUCUCCAGGCACCCCUUGAAAUGGAGCCCUGGCAGAGAUCGUAGAUUGGUUUGAGUUGGACGGGACCCUGAAAAGCCAUCUGGUCCCACUCCCCUGCAAUGGGCAGGGUCACCCACAGCUCCUUCAGGAUGCUCAGAGCCUGGUCCAUUUCUGAGUGCUUCAUUGUUUUUAACGUGCCGCAGAAUUCUGUGUCGCCAACUCACGAGUGCAGAUGUUGUUGUGGACCGGCAGGAGCUAUUGGCAGUUGGGUCUUUUCCCACCUCCGAAGACAUGUGAAGCAAUUUGGAUCCAUGCGACGCUAGCUGAAUUGUGCUGUUAACAUGAUAAGUGGCGUUACAAGUGAGAGCAUUAGACAAAAAUUCACAUCUUUGGGAUCCUGAAUGUGUCUGUUAGCUGUAUGUCUCCAAAGAAAUUUUGUCACCCUGUCUGCAGGCUUUAAUAACACAACAGCAAAGUACUAGACUGUGUUUGGUUCAGGUUUGGGGCUACGGUUGCGUUCUUUUUCAUUGCUAUAAAAAUCCAGCAAAAUCUGGCCUUACCAUAAACCUGUGAGAAGUUGAGUGUGCACGUGUUCUGUAGAUACUCCCUAUGCAUUUGCAGAUAAACCCAUUGGAAACGCAACCAAGGUAUUUGAAACACACAGGCCUAUCAAUGCUGUGAAGCGCAGUGUUGCCACAAGAACCGGUGCCAUGGCAGAAGUCGAGAGGAAGCUGCUCAUUCCGGCAUGCCCAGCCUGCACGCCAUGCCAUCCUUCAGUCUUGGAGCUGCAUGUCAACCAGGAUGACAAAAGCAGUGAUGGAACGGCAGCUUGCUUGGGGGGCUGUGCAGGGGACCAUGGGCCCUCUGGAGAAAAACAGCAAGCGAGGAGGUCGUUAAUGCUGGGGGAGCAGUCUGCAACUGCGGCCCUGGUGCUGUCCUUCCCAGUGCCAGCAGUGAGAGCCAAGGCAGGAGGGAGCUGUGCCUGUGAGUCCCGAUGGUGAGAGCUCUGCGUGAACCACCUUGGAGCCCGGACAGCUGUUAUGAUAGACCUCUAUUCUGAGCUGUUUGUCUGGUGAGUCACUUUUAAAGGAACAAGGCUGAAACCACAUUGCUGCUAAUGACUCUUUCCACGGGUGUGGCUUCCCUUUGCUUGAGUACGCUUGAAGUCAUGCGCAGUGAGAGGUGUUUUCAGGGACCGGCUUAUUUUUGGCACUGAAUUUAGAACAGGGCCAUGUUCUGCCCAGAAGUUCACACCUUGCAACUGGCUCCCACCCACCCUUCACUUAUUUACCAUUCUGUUUUGAAAAUGGACCGAGGACUACAGACCACACAUGCCUAUGAGAUGCUGCACUUCAUUCAUGAUGGUACUUCAGAUACUGAGUGUUGAACCCCCAGAACAGGAGAGCAAGUCAGUAAUUUGCACCAGGUCAACUUGAUUAUUUUCUGAUUAUUUUCGUCCCGCUAAUCCUGUCGAUUAAAGAGAGGUGAUCCAGAGCUGUCAGUAAUCUUUGGGGAUGAAGCACGGGUGGAGCAAAGUUGAGCUUAGUGAAAUCUACCGGAUAGACCAAAACAGCACCAAACUGUUUGGUUCUCACCCCCACUGACUCUCUCUUAAAAAAUACAUGUAGGAAGAUUGAGCAUAGAAAACAUUUAUCAUUUCAGCGCAACUUCUCCUAUAUCUCUUUGUGCCUCCUUGUUAAAUAGUGCUUUGCUCUCUGGAAGCAAGGCGAAAAACAAGGGGACAGAAUAAAGUUGGGGUACUUGAAUUUGUGACUUAAUUACGUCGUCAUUACCAGAGCGGCUUCCCUAGAUGUGUGCAGGACUGUGUGAUACAUCCUGAGGAACGCGUCCCAGUCCUGUGAGGUACCUGGUGAAAUCAUUUCAAGUAUCUACUGCCGACUUUGCUGGGAAUAAAGAUGCCUUGGGAGACUCACUGCACCCAACCCAGCCACGGAAACAGCAAUUGUGCCUUCGCCUCUCUCUGUUCUCAAAUACAAGCAGUUUGUCACCAAAGUGGUGCUUGAAGUAACUUCACUAAUUUCAGUACGGUUUAACCGAGAGCAGGUUUCAUCUGUUGCCUCCGAAAUAUUAGUUUGUGGAUUCCUGUGGAAAGAUAAAACAGGAGGGAGAAAAAUAUUCUCCUUCACUUGUGUGAAUUCCUACUAAAACAUCAUUUACUUUCUUGUUCCCUAGUGGAAAAGCAUGCUUGAUUUCAAUUAAAAUGAAAUGUCAUCAUUUUGGGACGUGCUGCAUAGUUUUAACAAAUACGCCUUGUGUUCAUCCAUCAGGGAGAAGAUGUUGGAUUUGUAUAAAGGCCAACAGGUACAGAGGAUGCUUUGCAUUCAUGGUGAAAUUACCUGUGCAUGUAUCCUACCAGCACCCUGUUUAGCUGAACUCAGCCGGGGCAGAGGAUUUUCCCUCCUUUUCCACCCGUGUUAGUUGCAGGUGUUUAGAGCAGUCUUUGUUCCACCUCUCUGGUGAUGGAUUUCCUCAAUUCUGCAGCCUCAGGUCUGGGUCCCUGGGUCCCAGCAGCCUUUCCCAGUUGGAGAUACUGUGUCCUGCAAGCCCCCACUGUACUGGUUGGCAGCAGUGGUCACUGGUGAUGUUUUGCUCUGAACAAGGCUGUAUGGUAUGUCCUGUAGUUGAGGGAAGUCUACAGAACUGAAUUUUACCAUAAAAAAAAAAAAUAUAUAUAUAUGUAUACAUAUAUAUAUAAAUUCCUGUUGAAGCAUCCUGCUAUACAUUAUUUUUUAAUUCAAAGGCUGUUUCUCUUUCCCCUCACCCCUUCCCAGUGGGAUGGGGGAAAGAAUAAGAAAACAAACAAAGUAGAAUUCGGAGGUUGAGGUAAAACUUUACUAAGACAGAGAAAAGGAAAAUAGUUAUGACUGUACGUAUACAUAAAUGUCUAUAAGAAGUGAUGCACAAGCAGUUGCUCACCACGCUCGACCAAUGCUCAUCUGGCCCUUGAGCAGUGGAAUAGAGCAGUAUGAAUUCCUACCCCCUUCAAAACGCCUUCCACGUGAUGCCACAUGAUAUGGAAUAUCCCUUUGGCUAGUUUAGGUCAGCUGUCCUGAUUCUGCUCUCUCCCAGCAACUUGGGCCCUUUGCUGAGAGUGGCCUUGGCAUAGCAGGCAACUAUAAAGAUUGCUGCAUUAUCAACGGAGUUUAUCUCCUAGAACCAAGACAUAGCAUCAUACCAGUCACUAUGAUGAAAACGGUUCCAUUCCAGCUGAAACUAAGACAAUAUCUUAUCCUUUUGCCAUUUAAAUUUGACAUGUAAAAAUUUCUUUUCAAGCCGUACUACAGUGAAGUUAGUUCUGUCAGUUUACUUCACUCAAGUAAAUGGGCAUAUGUAGGUAGUUAUGGAAAUACGUUGGUCGUGAUGACAGCUGGACUAAGAAUACGAAAUGUGCAAUAAGGCAACUUCUUAUGAAGAUUUCAGCAGGUAUCUUUAAUAUUUCCUCAAGAACAAACAUCUGGAAGAAAUGCUUUUCUCAUGGAAACGUUUUUAAUAUGGUACGUUUUCUUCGAGAAAAGACAGGGAAAUGUUAAUUGGAGGUGUGUAUCGUAGCCAAUUAACUUGAUAAUACACCUGUAAAACUAGAAACAGUGUUAUUCUUUGUCUACUGCUUGCCAUCUUCUAUUAAUGACUAAAGAACAGAAAAGUAUUCUACGUAUGAUAAUGUGAUUUGUGGCUUUCUUCCCCAGGUAGACCUAUUUAAAAAGUAAGAAAUGUUUGGAGGGAGGUAUGGCACCUAAAAUGCCCGUUUCACAGAAGUUUGCUAUUCUGUAACGUCAAACAAAAGUGUGUUUGGAACGCCCAGGCUUCUGAGUGCAGUCAGCGUGAUGAGUGUCACUGGUGAUGAUUUACGGUCAUUCUGCAUGACCAAACUAAACAAAGUUCUGGGUAGCAGACGUACUUUGUCUUCAGCUUUUGAAUGGAAUUAGCAUAUUGUAUGUGUGAAAAGAACUGUAUUCUUUGUUUUUUGUUUGUUUGUUUGUUUGUUUGUUUGUUUUCCUUGGGGCUUUCUUUAUUUCCUAUUCUCCUAAUCUGGAUCUUGUGAGCAUACAGUAUGAUGAUAUGGGUAUCAAAAUGUCUGAUUCAAAGACAACUCCCUCACAGUGUUUGAAGGCAGAUGCUAUAUUCCAAGUAGAGGGAGAAGUUCUGAACUAUGCCAUGACAUGAUAACCAAACUUUUCAUAAGUAGUAUUCCUGAAACGCUUAGACUUGAAUGUAUUUUGGGAAAUGCCUAACACUGUUUUCCUUAUAUCAAAAUUUUAAUACGUGUUUUAACUUAAUGUUACAUUUUCAUUCCAAAUGAGGAAGAUGAAAUGUCUUGAUCGGCCCCUUGAAAGCAUCCAACAUAAUUUUCUCCAGAGUGUGUGGGGUCAUCCAUCAUAAAGCUACACAGAAUGUUCCUGCAUUGCUCUCCCUGCUUCAGAAACUCAGUAAUUUGAUUGAUAAAAGUGUCUUACAAUUCCUCACAUAAAUGUGAGCAUGGCAAUAUUUUUGUUAUCAGUAUCAUCCUUUAACUCGAGUAGUUCUUCCUUUCUUGGCUUAUCACUAAUAAUGCUCAUCAUGCUGGGAUAAAUGAUGUCUCUUACACAAUGGAUUCUCCAUUCUCUUCUAAGUAGCCCUUCUCUGCUUUUUUUUUUUUUUUUUUUUUCCAUUUUGAAUUCAUCUUUCCCAAAAAGGUUGAAUAGAAUUACAUUCAGCGUCCCAUAUAAAGCCUUACUGCAUCUUGCUCAGUGCAAUUAAUAGUUGCUUACAUCUGCUAGAAGUCACCUGGCUCACAUCUUAGGAUCACUUUUGAUUCUUUCAACAGCAUCUGAUAUUUACCCCGGAAUUCAGGAACACGUCCAGGUCAUUAUCCUGUAUGAUUUCUAGUUGGUGUCUUUCAGGCUGUAGCCUUUUUCUAACAGUUACCAAACUAAGAGACUCAUUAUACCUAAUCUUCGCAGGCCAGAUCUGGAUCCUCAGCUCCGCAAGAGGUGUCAACAGCAGCUGUGACGAACUGUUCUCAGCAGGUCCCCUACCAAAGCACAGCUGACUGGAGACCUGUCUUCUGGAUGGCAGUCAGAUGAGGUGAAUCCCUCACUGUCUACACUUCCCAUUACAUACUGUUGCAUCUAAUGUACUUUCUAUUGCUUUGGUCUUCAAUGAGCAGAACUUCCAGUGUGAUGCUCCCAUCAUUGCCACUACCUCCUUCAAUUUGUCACUGGAACGUUUUAUUAGCUUACUCCUCCCUUUACUGCAGAGAUCAUUGAUGAAAUAAGCAGUAAGAUCAUUUCCAGCACUAACUCUUGGUGAGUACUGUGGACUGUAUUCUAAGAGCACGUUCAGAAAGCUUGCCAUGACCUUCUCUUUGUUAGUUAAUUGCUGUGUUCUGAUACAUACAAGCUGACUGAUACUUUUUGUGCAUUAGAAUAUCAAAUAUUUCCAAAGUCCAAUCAAAUAUGAUCUACAUUGCUUAAACCGUAAGGUUAGAGAAAACAUUAAAUUUGUCUAAUACGAUCUGUCUUUCAUAAAUCAUCUCUCAUUUUGUAUCCACGUGCUUAUUGUUGUUUUAUUCAAAACUUAAGUAUUGCACAGCAUAAACUCCAGAAGUUUGGUGUCCGCUAAGAUUAUUUUCCUCCCACUUUCUGGAAAGAUGUCCACAUUCCCUGUGCUUCAGUAAUACAUCUGUAUUCCUGGUUUGACAGACUGAUGGCUUAGUGUGCCAGCUCCUUAAGUCUUCUGGGCUGGAGAUCAUCCCCAGAUUGAGCACAUAUUAAAGUUUUUGCAUACAGCUUUCGUCUUAGAUGCUAUCAUUUACAUUUCUGUGGAUUUAUUCUCAUUAGUAGUUCUGUUUAUAGUUUUUGCACUGAGCUAAUAUUCAUUUUUAUCUGUGUGAAGGUAGUGCAGAGCUUUCAAGUUCUACAAGACAUUGCUGUAGUCUCAAAUGUAGUUUUUCGUAUAAAGGUUGCCAUUUGAAAGCAGAAUUACAGUUUAGAGUUUGAUUUCAUUCCAGCAGAUGUUGAAUUCACAGAAUCACAUACUGUCUGAGCCGGGAAGAGACCGCUGGGUCCUUCUGAUCCAACCCCCUCCCCAGGAUCGGACACCCAGAGCAGAGUGCCCAGGCCCCCGUCCAGCUGAGUUUUGAAGACGUCCAAGCAGGAAACCCCAACAUCUCUCUGGGAAACCAGUAACAGUGCUCUGGCACCAGCACAGUGAAGAAGUGCUUCAAGAAAUGUAGGAAGGAGAUCUUGGGUUCAGGUCCACGGCAGCACUAAGCCGUUGGUGAUGUGCCACGGCUACAUCUUCAGAGAGAUGGGAGAAGCGUCGCCAUUCGCACAGGAACAAAUAUGCUGACUCAGUAAUGGAAGAAUGCUAAAGAAAAUGUAUCCACUUGGAGAUCUUUUUUCUAUAUUCUUUCAUCCUAGAAUUUCAUGGAACGAGAAUAACAUAGUUACUUGUUUGUGUUGAAAUCAAACAUGCUUGUUCUUCACUUGCAAAAAUAGGAAACUUCUUUCAAAGUGACACUCUUCAUGAAAGAAUAGAAGUGUGCAGCUGCUGUAUGACUAAGUGAUUAAAAACCUGAUGGCUAAUUCAUUUUAGGUGAUAUGUUUGCACUCAAGGCCAAGUAUCAUAAAAAUAGCUGCUUCGCUUUUCUUUUUUAAUAUUAAGUAAAACACCAUAGAGUUUUCAGUAGGCUGGCAAGAUUUUCCAUAUCCAGUUUUGCCCAAUUGAAGUCAGGCUACCACAACUAGAAUUGUCUUCUCUCUAAUAUUUCCCUUUUACGCAGCCUUCACCCACGUAGUUUUUACUAGACAAAUGGUUUUAAACUACCUGAGGCCAAGGGGAAAGUUCACAACAUUUUAUAAAUCUUGCCUGGAAAAUGCCAAGAUAGAUGGCAUUUUCUUGGCUCGUACACUGUGUGUAGGGAAGUAGAGAGAGUUUAGAGAGUUUAUGAGACUUAAUAGUCUGCUCACCAAAGCGGUAGUAUUUAACUCAUUGAGUGCUAUUUGAGGACUCGACAUGGCUAGAGAAGAAUGUCAUAUUGUUGUUAAUAUUAUUAUUUGUUAUUUUUGUUAUUGAGCUUAGAUGCGUAGAAGACAACCAGAGAUGCUUGAUUUUGGGUUCAGUGUGCUGAUGUACGUUGCUUGUCCUUAUAAUCUAAUUAAAAGAUGAUGUAAAAAAUACGUGGGAAUGAGAACAGAAAGAGGAUGAAGAAGAAAAUAAUUGAAGUAAUACAUGGUGGUUGGAUUAGUUAUUUGCACAAUUAGCUAUUUGAAUUAGCUACUUGACAAGUGAUAUAGAAGAAAGAAUAAAGGGCUAUCUCUGUCAAAGACAGUUUUUAGUGAAGCUGCUACUGUAAGUGUAUUAUGAUUUAAAUAUAAAGAGCUUCAGGUUUCAGUUAAAUGGAUUUUGAUUCUGCUUAUUUUUCUAAUGCUAGAUUUGUUUCAUUUCUGUAUUAAGCUCCUCUUAUUAAACCAUGCAGUGUCUGAUGGAAAUUUCAACCUUUGUUUCAAGUGCAAUGCAGUUUCCUGGGAGCAGACUAAGGCAUAACCUAACGAUUUUUUUAAACACUUAUUUGUGCUCAACAAAGAGAUUGAACAUAAAAUCUCAGGAUUUAUUGAAAUACUCUGAGCCGGAGAAACAGGUAUACAAUUAUUUCUAGAUAUUGGAUUGCUUUUCAGCUGACAAACUCAUAACUUUGCUACUGCGUUCUUCUGACAUGCUCAACAGAGGUUUGAUUAUGUCUAUCCCCAUUUAGCUAGGUAGAGUGCCAUCUCCGCUGGGGGAAACAGAGAAAACAGCUACUUGAAAACAAGAAACUAUUAAUAUUUGAUCAAAAUUAAAUUGAUUGUAUGGGAUGAAUAUGAGGUAGGAAAUUGUAGUCAAAUUAAUUUUCACAGCAAAUUGGUCUCAAUUUUUUUGAGAAGGACCCAAAGUGAGUUAUGGACCCAACAGUCCAAUGCAGUCAGAUCCAGGAGACUGGAAUCUUCAAGUCCUUCACAUGGCAAGCCACCAGUCUGGAAUGUCUUACCUGACUGAUUUUCCAGAACCACUUCCUUCAAGCUGAAGAGCCAUCUCAACAUGUGGAAAGGCAAGCCUGAGUGGCAGGAGACCUGCAUGGCUGGGCAAUGAAUGGACGCAAACAUAAAAAGGAAGAGAGGAAAAGGUGGAAGCAGGGCACCCACAUCGUGACUUAAGGUCAUCAAGGGCUGUGAGAUUUGUAUGGAAUACAACAAAAAUAUCAAAUAAAAUUGAGGAACUUAUC
ensembl:lncRNA